AUUGAACGCUGGCGACAGGCCUAACACAUGCAAGUCGAGCGCGAAAGUCUUCGGAUGAGUAAAGCGGCGAACGGGUGAGUAAUGCAUGGGAAUCUGCCUGGUAGUGGGGGACAACGUCUCGAAAGGGACGCUAAUACCGCAUACGCCUACGGGGAAAGGGGGGAGUCUUCGGACCUCUCGCUAUCAGAUGAGCCCAUGUCAGAUUAGCUAGUUGGUGAGGUAAAGGCUCACCAAGGCGACGAUCUGUAACUGGUCUGAGAGGAUGAUCAGUCACACUGGAACUGAGACACGGUCCAGACUCCUACGGGAGGCAGCAGUGGGGAAUAUUGGACAAUGGGGGCAACCCUGAUCCAGCCAUGCCGCGUGUGUGAAGAAGGCCCUAGGGUUGUAAAGCACUUUCAGUGGGGAGAAAGGUUAAGUUCACCUAAUACGUGAGUAGAUUGAUG
rnacentral:rRNA from 1 species